GCGGCGAGCGAACGCGGAUUAGCCCAAACCAAUAAAGUUUUCUUUAUUGGGGUUGUGGACAUAUCAUAACGAAGAGGUAUCGUAAUUGAAGAGGUUUGGAAAGACCCACCACAGAAGGUAAUAGUCCUGUAUGUUAAACGAGAAGACUUCAGAUAUGAUCCAGAGUACCACGGGACACGUGAAACCCUGUGGGAAGCAGGAGGGACCACCCUCCAAGGCUAAAUACUACCUAGUGACCGAUAGCGUAUAGUACCGUGAGGGAAAGGUGAAAAGAACCCCGGGAGGGGAGUGAAAUAGAACCUGAAACCCUGCACUUACAAGCUGUGGAAGCACAUUUCUUGUGUGACCGCGUACUUUUUGUAGAACGGGCCAACGAGUUACGUUAAGUAGCAAGGUUAAGCACUUAAGGUGCGGAGCCGUAGCGAAAGCGAGUUUUAACUGAGCGUUCAGUUACUUGACGUAGACCCGAAACCGGGCGACCUACCCAUGAGCAGGAUGAAGCGAAAGUAAAAUUUCGUGGAGGUCCGAACCCACGAGCGUUGAAAAGCUCGGGGAUGACUUGUGGGUAGCGGUGAAAUUCCAAUCGAGCCCGGAGAUAGCUGGUUCUCCCCGAAAUAGCUUUAGGGCUAGCCUCAAGGUGAGAGAUACGGAGGUAGAGCACUGAAUGUCCUAGGGGGUAUUGCACCUACCGAAGACUAUCAAACUCCGAAUGCCGUCAUCUUAUACUUGGGAGUCAGACUGUGGGUGAUAAGAUUCAUAGUCGAAAGGGCAACAGCCCAGAUCGUCAGCUAAGGUCCCUAAAUGUAAGUUAAGUGGUAAAGGAUGUGGGAUUGCACAGACAACCAGGAUGUUGGCUUAGAAGCAGCCACUCAUUCAAAGAGUGCGUAAUAGCUCACUGGUCGAGUGAUCCUGCGCCGAAGAUUUCCGGGGCUAAAACUUACUACCGAAGCUACGGCAUCAGUAAUGAUGGGUAGGGGAGCUUCCCAUACGGGUUGAAGCAUGACCGUAAGGACAUGUGGACAGUAUGGGAGUGAGAAUGUUGGCAUGAGUAGCGAGAUGUGGGUGAGAAUCCCACAGGCCGUAAACCCAAGGUUUCCAGGGGAAGGUUCGUCCGCCCUGGGUUAGUCGGGACCUAAGCUGAGGCCGAAAGGCGUAGGUGAUGGACAACAGGUUGAUAUUCCUGUACUACCGAUAACCGUUUGAGAGAAGGGAUGACACAGUAGGAUAAGCUAAGCACACUGUUGGUUAUGUGUGCCCAAGCAUUGAGGCAGUCAAAGUAGGCAAAUCCGCUUUGAUAAUGCUGGGAUGUGAUGGGGAGCGAAAUUUAGUAGCGAAGUAGCUGAUUUCACACUGUCAAGAAAAGUCUCUAUCGAGGUUAAAGGUACCCGUACCGCAAACCGACACAGGUGGGUGAGGAGAGUAUCCUAAGGCCAGCGAGAGAACUGUUGUUAAGGAACUCGGCAAAAUGACCCCGUAACUUAGGGAUAAGGGGUGCCACCAUCAGGUGGCCGCAGAGAAUAGGCCCAAGCGACUGUUUACCAAAAACAUAGGUUUCUGCUAAGUCGCAAGACGAUGUAUAGGAGCUGACGCCUGCCCGGUGCUGGAAGGUUAAGGGGAUCUGUUAGAGCAAUCGAAGCAGUGAACUUAAGCCCCAGUAAACGGCGGCCGUAACUAUAACGGUCCUAAGGUAGCGAAAUUCCUUGUCGGGUAAGUUCCGACCCGCACGAAAGGCGUAACGAUUUGGGCACUGUCUCAACAACAGACUCGGUGAAAUUGUAAUUCCGGUGAAGAUGCCGGAUACCUGCGACAGGACGGAAAGACCCCAUGGAGCUUUACUGUAGCUUGACAUUGGGUCUUGGUACUACAUGUACAGGAUAGGUGGGAGGCUUUGAAACCAGGACGCCAGUUUUGGCGGAGCCAUCCUUGGGAUACCACCCUUGUAGUACUGGGACUCUAACCAUAGGCCAUGAAUCUGGUCUUGGGACACUGUCA
rnacentral:rRNA from 1 species